CGGAGGAUCCGAGCGUUAUCCGGAUUUAUUGGGUUUAAAGGGUGCGUAGGCGGCCAUUUAAGUCAGCGGUGAAAUUUUACAGCUUAACUGUAACAGUGCCGUUGAUACUGUUUGGCUAGGAUUUGGUUGUAGUGUGCGGAAUGUGUGGUGUAGCGGUGAAAUGCUUAGAUAUCACACAGAACACCGAUUGCGAAGGCAGCACACUAAGUCAUUAUUGACGCUGAGGCACGAAAGUGUGGGGAUCAAACAGGAUUAGAUA
rnacentral:rRNA from 1 species